rnacentral:lncRNA from 1 species
ACAAUUCGAGAUAACACUUGAAUGUAUAUCUUCAAGUGCUAUUUCGUGACCUCCCCCUCUCAGUUUUGACCAAUUCAACAUUUAUGUGUUUAUUUUUCUAACAUGUAAUUAAUCACUAUUACGAUAGAUAACCAAAUUUCACAUGGAUUUUGAUUGGUACAGAACUACCAGAGAUGGCUAGAGAUCGUUGCGGAUGGUGACAGACGAUUGUCGUUAGUUGUUCAACUCUCGAUGGGGGUAAUUACAAAGCACUGUAACGCCUAAGUUAGUAAGAGUUGAGGGAAGUGAGAGGUAAUGAAUAAUAUGUACGUUGUUUCAGAAAGUAGGACCCUUUCAUAGAGAUUCUCCCGAAGGUGAUGAUAUGGCGACGGUUAUUCCUUUGAUUGGAAUCAAGCACGGAAAACGAGUAAGCGUCUGAUCACCACGUAACGGUUCUGAAUUCAGUGUCAUUUCCUUUGAGGGGUUAGAAUUCAGCGUCAUUUCCAGAGUUCGGCACAAGAGUGAUACGAGAGUUCAACGCUUGCUAGAUUGUGAUAAGACCCAAUGGUCGUUGUCGGUUGGGCCUAAGUCCAGUCAAGAAUAGUUGCCCUAUAACCCUGUUCUUUGGAUGUGUGAAGUUGAGGGCUUGAAGUCCUCCUCAUUCUUCUGACUUCUGGGACAUGUGACUGGUGAUCUAUCUGGUCGAAGACAUUCAUUCAUGGGAAAUUCUCGCAUCGAAGCCCAACUUUGAUAUGCCUAUCGCUCUAUUCAGCUUGAAUUCACGAUGUGAUAUGCAACAUUCCAAAUUUUUGAUUCAAAAUAUUAUUUAAAAAUAUUUAUUCUUUAGAAAAAUUACGAUAAUAUUUUUUUAUUAUUUAAUUAAGAAUACAUAAACUACUGUUCAUUUAAAUAAUUAGUAAACACUAAACUCU